GUCAGGUCCGGGCCGCCUCCCCACCCCGCCCCAGCGCAGGCAGGCAGGUGUCCCGGCGCUGGCAGGCGGUGCUGAUUAAACCCAGGCUGAGAAAAAAUACGGUUUUUCGGCAAGAGGCACUUUCUGUUGAAAAAGGUAAGAUGAAACAUGCCGGUGGAGUCAUUGCCAGGUGCCAAGUGGGAGCUGCCUCCAGGCUUCUCUGUUGGGGUGAGGCAGCUCAGAUUGUCCUGCAGCCACAUGUAUUUUUCUACUGGUUUGGACUCCUGUGUUUACAUUGAACAAAAAAAAAUCCCAAGAAACCUAACAAAAAUAUUAUGGACUAGGGAAGAAGAGGAGAAAGUAUUGUUAUGUUACUAGAAAUACCUGAACUAUAUUAUUUUUGACAAAAAUAAAGCUUUCUUGUGUAAUACCUA